CCUACGGGAGGCAGCAGUGAGGAAUAUUGGUCAAUGGACGAAAGUCUGAACCAGCCAAGUAGCGUGAAGGAUGACUGCCCUAUGGGUUGUAAACUUCUUUUAUAUGGGAGUAAAAUGUUCCACGUGUGGGAUUUUGUAUGUACCAUAUGAAUAAGGCUCGGCUAACUCCGGGCCAGCAGCCGCGGUAAUACGGAGGAUCCGAGGGUUAUCCGGGUUUUUUGGGGUUAAAGGGAGCGUAGGGGGAUUGUUAAGGCAGUUGGUAAAGUUUGGGGGUCAAACGUAAAAUUGCAGUUGAAACUGGGAGCCUUGAGUAGAGGAGAGGUGGGCGGAAUGCGUGGUGUAGCGGUGAAAUGCUUAGAUAUCACGAAGAACCCCGAUUGCGAAGGCAGCUCACUGGACUGCAACUGACACUGAGGCUCGAAAGUGUGGGUAUCAAACAGGAUUAGAUACCCUAGUAGUC
rnacentral:rRNA from 1 species